CGUAUAGCUAAAUGUUUUUUUUUCAAAUGGUGUCGAUAUCGACUUUGUCUGGGUCCAUCUUUUUUUUGGCCUUCUGCUGUUCUGUUUCUUUAGAAUCUGUCUCUACAGCUUGUGAAAAAAAGAGUGUACUGACACCCUUUCAUCUAAAGCUAGAUUGCUGAAACUUCGUCCGCUGUUACCUGCAACAUUUUUUUCUUCCAGGUUUGUGCCUGUUCUUUCUCAUUUCGAUUUGGUUCUUAUAUUUUUUUAAGCUUACGUCAAGAAAGCUUCCUAACAAGUGGUCAGCCCAUAACUUUAUUUUGACCUUAACUUGGUUGGUGCUCCUGCCUUUUUAUGCACUGUUCCUUCUGUGUCGUUUAAUCCAGGUUAGUUUCUUUUCCUUUUUCAUUGAUCUGCUCUUUGCUUAAGGGAAGGAGGGUGUCAUUUAAUGUUUGUUAACAUUGGUUACUGAGUAGAUGAAAACCAAACACACAAGAUGAGAUAAACAGUUAUGUUCUAAUGUUUCCAAUCUAUCAAAAUUGAGUUUCUUCUUAAAAUAAAGUGUAUUCAAGUCUUCAUUGCCACAUCACCCUCCAAUUGUCCAUGUCGUUUUGCAGCUCACAGUAAAUUAGGUGCCUGGAAUACUUCAAUUCACUCCACUGCUGCUGCCAUCAAUUCCGCUCUAUACUAUGAAGUAUGAGCAUGGCUGGCUAGGAGGAUUUGUGGGUAUAUUAACAAAUCAGCAAGUUGCUUCUUUGAUCUAGAUGUUUAGUAAAGGUGAUGCCAGGGGAAAUUAUAAGGGUGGUCUUGGCAUCCGGACUGCUAGAGAAGCCAUCUUUAGAUGGCAGCAAAAGGAUUUCUUCUUUGGCAUGCUAGAAUUUCUGCAGACAUUUGCAACUACCUUUUCCUCUCCUGUGUUUACAAUUAUCCUGUAUGGUCAAAGAAUGAUGAGUCACACAGUAUAGGCUAACAAGUUUUAGCAUUACAGUUAAUUGCUCUAAUUCUUCAUCUGCACAUUACCUUCCUUUCUCAAAGAGUUGGCUUGGAAAUACUUACUAUCUUAUAUAUUCCAUCUUUUUGUUGUUUUCGAUUGUGGUUUGUUUUUGUUGUUGUUGUUGAGGAUGGUUGCAUUCCGAUAGCGGCCUCUUAUCUACUUUUGUUCUAUGUUUGCUCAUGUGCUGUUCAUUAUCAGGUUGUCAUUCUUCAUUGCUUGCUGCAUUUUUUAGAUGCAGUAAUUUCUUUUUCAUUUUUUGGCCUUCUGCUGUUCUGUUUCUUUAGAAUCUGUGUCUACGGAUUAGUUUCCCACUCCUUUUCUAUGCCAUCUGAAGCAGAUAUCAACAGCAACUGACAACCCUCAUAAUUCAACAUGUCUGGUGGGUCAGCAGGAACAAACUUAUUGCCCAAAUUGGCUUUGUAGGGAGCAAGCCUGCAUAAACAAUGCCCUUCUGUCGAACUUGCUUCGCAAGGUCUGUGACAAUCAUGAGAUGAGGAAUUUUGAGGCCUAUAUUUGUGCUUUCACACAUUUCCUGUGUCGUGUAUUGGGAGGAAGAAUAAAGAGACUAAAAUAACAUAUUAAAUAGGUCUUGCUGCUCUGUAUGGAUAAUGUGGUUAAGCACGAGGAUUUCUAUACAAUUGCAAUUGAUGAACUAGAAUCUGUUACCACGAGAUACAAAUUCAGCAUCUCCGAUCAUUCCAUAAGAAUCAGUCUUGCCAACUGCACCAUCAAGCAAUCCUUCAAUGGACGUUAGUAAGAGGAAGAAAAGAACAAAUCAAAAUGAGGCACUUGUGCUAUCCACUGCACCCGAGGACCCUCCAACACAUUGGCAACAUACUUUGAUAUACUUUUACGACCCAAUAGAUGUGGAGCAAGAUCAGCUCAUUGAAGGAUCAGCUACAGUUCUGAAUUCUGAUCAUUGAAGGAUCAGCCACUAACACAAAGCAAAGAAACCGUUGAUUCAUGAAUAUUCACCUUCAAUACACUUCUGGUGGGUGGUUCUUUGUAAAGGAGUCCGUGACGAGGUGAUUUUUUUAAGAAUGUGUAACAGGUUUGAUGAGUCUCAACUAUUCUCACAAGUUAGUCCUACCUCAAUCUCAAGCUCUUUUGUCUGCAAAAACUAGCAGACUUUCUUUUUCAAAGGAGCUCCUCAAUCGAAUGUGCAGAUCCAUGAAUUAUUAAGGAAAUUUACCCUCAGAACAUGGAAAUGAAACUAACAUUAAAGACAAAUAUAGGUGAACUGAUUCGUGAAAAUUGAUUUUAAACAGUACUUGGGAUGUAGGCUAUGUAAGAAGAGCAUGUGAUGUUACUGUUGUAUUUUACCCAUUUUAUAUACUCACUUUUGCAA